UGUCGUUUAGAAAAAAAGGGUCUGGAUGCAGAGCUAUAAACUUUUUGUGAAGAUAAUAAAAAGAAAAGGAAAAUAUAAUAUAAUGCACUAUAUCUAAUAUUUCUAUCUUUCUCUUGUCCACAUAUCUUUCUUUUCUUAUCUUCUCCUAUUUUCUUCAAUCUCUGUCAAAGAGUUGAUCUUCUGUUGCGCAACGGUGUAAAGCGAUAUCUUCACGAGCUUAUUCUGGAUUCGGUGGCCUCCUCGCAAUCGUUUUAUCUAGUGAUCUCUGCCGCCGAUUUGAGGAGGUGGUGCUUCUGCUGGUGCUGAUUCUUCCAAUUUGGUCCCGAUUUGUUUUCUCUUUGAACUGACACCACCGCCGCUUCAACACCUUGCACCGCCACCAUCACCACCGAAACUCCCUCCACCGCCAUUGCUGCUACUCCACCUCCACCAUCACGGCGACCUUCGCACUCUACACCACACCGCCGCAUCUCAACGACUAUUAGAUUAUAAGUUUUAUUUUUGUUUUCGUUUAAUUUUAUAGAACUUUUUUAAUUUCUUUAUUUGUAAUAUAUAUUUGAUAAUUUAAAUUUUAUUGUGAGUUUUAUUUGUAUUUCAUUAUUUGUUUUUUUUAUUUAAAAAUAUUAGUUUCUCGGAA